GCCUUCGUGGUGUAGUGGUCAGCAUGCUCGAAGCGUAAUCGAGAGGUCCGUGGUUCGAUUCCCGGCGAAGGCG
rfam:Stegodyphus mimosarum contig24415, whole genome shotgun sequence.